GACGGAGGAUGCAAGCGUUAUCCGGAAUGAUUGGGCGUAAAGCGUCCGCAGGUGGCUGUUCAAGUCUGCUGUCAAAGACCGGGGCUUAACUUCGGAAAGGCAGUGGAAACUGAACAGCUAGAGUAUGGUAGGGGCAGAGGGAAUUCCUGGUGUAGCGGUGAAAUGCGUAGAGAUCAGGAAGAACAUCGGUGGCGAAGGCGCUCUGCUGGACCAUAACUGACACUCAGGGACGAAAGCUAGGGGAGCGAGUGGG
rnacentral:rRNA from 1 species